GCUGUCUCUUGUCAUGGCCGAGUGGUUAAGGCGAUGGAUUAAAAAUCCAGUGGGGUUUCUCCACGUAGGUUCGAAUCCUGCUGACUGUG